rnacentral:lncRNA from 1 species
AGCUUCCCAGAUACCUGGGAUCACAGAGGAAUGAGGCAUUCGCAGGCUAAAUGACUCGUGCGGGUCCCCCAAUAGCUGAUGGCGAAGCUGUGAAUUCAGACCCCCACUUCGCUUGAGCAGUGACGGGAAGCUGGUGACUUCAGGCUCUGGCAGGCUGGCCCUGGUGACCUGCCCACCUCCUCUUCUGUCUCCUGGAGGCUGGCCCUUGUGACCUGCCCACCUCCUCUUCUGUCUCCUGGAGGCUGGCCCUGGUGACCUGCCCACCUCCUCUUCUGUCUCCUGGAGGCUGGCCCUAGUUGCAGGAAAACAGGCUUAGGGCUGCCACUGAUUCUACAUUAUGAUUCCCAAGAUUAACUGGCGUUCUGUAGGUCGGCACAAAGUCGUGGCUUUGCCAUCUGACGGAGGACGC